rnacentral:rRNA from 1 species
CCUACGGGGGGCUGCAGUGGGGAAUAUUGGACAAUGGGCGAAAGCCUGAUCCAGCCAUGCCGCGUGUGUGAAGAAGGCCUUCGGGUUGUAAAGCACUUUCAGUGGGGAAGAAAGCCUUGGGGCUAAUACCCUCGAGGAAGGACAUCACCCACAGAAGAAGCACCGGCUAACUCCGUGCCAGCAGCCGCGGUAAUACGGAGGGUGCGAGCAGUUAAUCGGAAUUACUGGGCGUAAAGCGCGCGUAGGCGGUCUGAUAAGCCGGGUGUGAAAGCCCCGGGCUCAACCUGGGAACGGCAUCCGGAACUGUCAGGCUAGAGUGCAGGAGAGGAAGGUAGAAUUCCCUGUGUAGCGGUGAAAUGCGUAGAGAUCGGGAGGAAUACCAGUGGCGAAGGCGGCCUUCUGGACUGACACUGACGCUGAGGUGCGAAAGCGUGGGUAGCAAACAGGAUUAGAUACCCGGGUAGUC